rnacentral:rRNA from 1 species
GAGCUGUCCUUAGUACGAGAGGACCGGGAUGGACACACCGCUGGUGUACCAGUUGUCUUGCCAAAGGCAUCGCUGGGUAGCUAUGUGUGGACGGGAUAAGUGCUGAAAGCAUCUAAGCAUGAAGCCCCCCUCAAGAUGAGAUUUCCCAUAGCGCAAGCUAGUAAGAUCCCUGAAAGAUGAUCAGGUUGAUAGGUCAGAGGUGGAAGCGUGGCGACAUGUGUAGCUGACUGAUACUAAUCGAUCGAGGACUUAACCAAAC